AAAAAAAACAUAUUUAUCUUUUUAAUAUUGAAAACAGAAUUUACGACAAGUUUACAUAGAGGAUUGAAUCGCCCAAGGUGGCAGUACUGCUGGCGCGGGUGAGUGAUGGUUGAGUACAUCUUACCAACUUAAAGAAAAAAAAAACUUACAAUUUAUCAAGUAUUUCGACUUCCCGGCAUCCACAAACCAAGGAAGAGACUCCAGGAGCUCCACAAGCCCAACCACAGCGUCCGGUAGUGUGGGCGUCCCCGGAUGUUGCAAACCGCUGAAUGUGCUGCAGGAGUAUUGCACGGAGGUGGCGCAAGGAGGCAGUGUGGGAGAUGAAACCAGCCAAGGGGAAAUGAGUAAAUGAAAAUAAAAAAAGAAAAAAACCUGCACAUUAUGCCGCUGUGAGAAGAAAACAAGAAAACAGAAGUAGGGAAAUUUAAAGAGGAGACCAGUUUAAUUUAUAAGAUGUCGUGAUGACUCCUCUCCUGAAACAGUUGAAGUCGUAGGCUGGAGAAAAUGCAGAAACAGGAAGAGAGUUUCAGAGUUCACUGGAGCUGGCAUUUUUCCUCUAAAAGUAUCACUCCACUGACGGCAAAGGGAAGUGUGAUGUGGUGCUCACCUGUCCAGAGAGCCAGGUGUGCCAGGUAUGAUUGUGCCACUAGAUUACGUAACUGUUAUUGCCGUCGCUGCUUCAAGAUCAAUGCAUAACGUAACAACACGGAGGCAUAACAGUACAAAUACGUAAUGUGGUUAUGUAUGUGAA